GACGAACGCUGGCGGCGUGCUUAACACAUGCAAGUCGAACGAGUGGCGAACGGGUGAGUAAUACGUGAGUAACCUGCCCUCUUUUUGGGAUAAGCCUUGGAAACGGGGUCUAAUACCGGAUAAUGGGGGCUGGGCUCGCGGCCUAUCAGCUUGUUGGGGGGGUGAUGGCCUACCAAGGCGGUGCCGGGUAGCCGGCCUGAGAGGGUGACCGGCCACUUUGGGACUGCGAGACGGCCCAGACGACUAAGGGGGGCGGCAGUGGGGGAUAUUGCACAAUGGGUGAAAGACUGAUGCAGCGAGGCCGCGUGGGGGAUGCAGGUUGUCGGGUUGUAAACCUCUUUCGGUAUCGGAAGGGUAGGUGGAGAAGAAGCGCCGGCUAACUACGUGCCAGCAGCCGCGGUAAUUC
rnacentral:rRNA from 1 species